AGAGUUUGAUCAUGGCUCAGGACGAACGCUGGCGGCGUGCUUAACACAUGCAAGUCGAGCGGAAAGGCCCUUCGGGGUACUCGAGCGGCGAACGGGUGAGUAACACGUGAGCAACCUGCCCCUGGCUCUGGGAUAGCCUCCGGAAACGGGGAUUAAUACCGGACAUGACCUGGGAGGGCAUCCUCCAAGGUGGAAAGUUU
rnacentral:rRNA from 1 species